AGAGGAAAAUCUUCAUGCUGGUAGCUGAGCCUCCGUGGGUUCUUGAUGGUUAUUAUCUACUCCUCCAAUGUGGUUAAAGAUCCAGCUCUAUUUUUAGAGAUGCUGUUGACAUACCUCGUGGUCUUUGGCUCUUCUUAGGCUCCCAGGAGACAUUUGGCACCUUAGGGCUUUAACAUCUCAGGCACCACUCGCAACUCUGUAACUGCUGUCUGCUACAGGCAGGGACAAGCGCAUAAGAAAGAGAGAGAGGUAACAGCAUCGGUUCAAAGAGAAGCAAAAAGGUAGGAAAUGGCACAAGCAGAAGAGCGCUCAACUUGCUGGACUCACGCCUGGUUAUCACUCAACCUUGUGAUGGCAGCCUCCUGGAUUUCACCAAGCUGAACUCAUUAGCAAACCACUACCACUACCUUUGGUGCUGGAGGGGCAGGCAGACGACC